rnacentral:rRNA from 1 species
GACGAACGCUGGCGGCGUGCUUAACACAUGCAAGUCGAACGGAAAGGCCCUGCUUUUGUGGGGUGCUCGAGUGGCGAACGGGUGAGUAACACGUGAGUAACCUGCCCUUGACUUUGGGAUAACUUCAGGAAACUGGGGCUAAUACCGGAUAGGAGCUCCUGCUGCAUGGUGGGGGUUGGAAAGAUUCGGCGGUUGGGGAUGGACUCGAGGCUUAUCAGCUUGUUGGUGGGGUUGUGGCUUACCAAGGCUUUGACGGGUAGCCGGCCUGGGAGGGUGACCGGCCACAUUGGGACUGAGAUACGGCCCAGACUCCUACGGGAGGCAGCAGUGGGGAAUAUUGCACAAUGGGCGGAAGCCUGAUGCAGCAACGCCGCGUGCGGGAUGACGGCCUUCGGGUUGUAAACCGCUUUCGCCUGUGACGAAGCGUGAGUGACGGUAAUGGGUAAAGAAGCACCGGCUAACUACGUG